rnacentral:pre_miRNA from 1 species
UUCUUGCUCAGAGUUUACAUAUUUUGGUUUAAAUAUGAAAUAUGUACAACCGUGAGUGGAGACC